rnacentral:misc_RNA from 1 species
CAGAGCAUCAUGCCCUUCGGGGUAGAUCUCCCACCCUGUGUAUUUUAUACCUUUUGUUGCUUUGGCGGGCCGCCCUCGGCCACCGGCUUCGGCUGGUGCGUGCCUGCCAGAGGACCCCAAACUCUGAAUGUUAGUGUCGUCUGAGUACUAUAUAAUAGUUA